GUGGGUAUAGCUCAGUGGUAGAGCACAUGCUUAGCAUGUGUGAGGCCCUGAGUUCAUCCCCAGUACCACCA
rnacentral:tRNA from 1 species